rnacentral:rRNA from 1 species
CCUGAGAAACCCAAAAGAUCGAAUGGGGAGAUUCAUCGUCAGCUCAUUUUGUAUAUGUAUAAGUUAUGAUGUGGGUUACUACUUGUAGUAUUGCCUGUACAUUCUUGUAUAUUUAUUUGCAAGAUGUUGUCGGCGUGCACUUCUCCCCUAGUAGGACGUCGCGACCUGUUGGGUGUCGGUCUACGGCCCAAGUGAUAGCCUUUAAUGUAAUUUAAAAAACAUUGAAGAUCCUUGGUGUUUUCUGACCGGCUACUUGGCAGUAUUCGUACGGUAUUUAGCCGCUAAAUUUAUUAAGCGUCCAUAUCCAUUACAAGCGAGGCCAAUUUACUGAUAGUACGGACCUAGUGCCGUCGUUGGUAUUGGCCAGCUGUUGGUUGAUGGUAUUCUAGGACUGGCUAAAAUUAAUUACCGGUCGGCGAUGCUACUGCUUUGGGUACUUUCAG